rnacentral:rRNA from 1 species
UGGUGGAGUGAUUUGUCUGGUUAAUUCCGUUAACGAACGAGACCUCAGCCUGCUAAAUAGUCACGUUAAUUCUGAAUUGGCGGCUGACUUCUUAGAGGGACUAUUGGUGUUUAACCAAUGGAAGUUUGAGGCAAUAACA